rnacentral:lncRNA from 1 species
GUUAGCUAGAAGCAAGUUCAAAAAGAAUUCAGAAAGGGAGGUGGUGGGGGUGGUUAGGAAGGCAGGUCAGUAGACAACUUCUGUGACAUCCUAAGGAGUUCAGACUUGGCCCUGUAGCAGUGAGAAGGCAGUUAAGGAUUUUAAGCAUUGUGCAAAACAGAGUAAUAGACUGCAGUCUGUCAUGACUAGAAGAAGGGGUCUCAUUGGAAGAAACUGGAGGGACAAAUCAGACUCUGAACAAAACUAGCAGCACUGGGGAUGGAGCAAAGGGAUUGAAUACAAGAUAUAUGAAUGAUGUAAAAUUUACAGGCCAUGGUGACUAUUUGGACACGGGACAUGGAGAGAAGACUGCUCUGGCAGCCUAGGGAGCUGUUGGUUAUCUUUAGGGAUGGGAAGACAUACAAGAAAGCAACCAGUUACUGGAUUAUAUGAGGAAGGCUGUGACAGAGGCCAUACCGGAUGCUGCAGGAACACAGAAAAAGAAGGAUCUACGCCCUUUGAUGAAUUCCCAGGAAGCCUUCCCAGAUGUGUCAGUGGGCUCUUGAAGGGUGCUCAUCUACUGGAAAGGCUUCAACUUUCACCUUUGCUGAUGACGUUCCAGUCCCAGUCUGCCCAAUCUGAAUUCUUCCUCAGCCUCUGCUUAGCUUCCUAUCCUCCGUUCCUUCUCCUAUGAUCUAGGCAGACAUUGAGGAUUAUGCCUGGCACAUUUUCUCAGAGGGCCAAGGCACAGCCUUAAUUUUCUACUCAACUGGGAGCUCUAGGCACCCAUUACCAUUCAGAGUUGGCAUUCGAGACAAAAACUAUUUUUUUCCUGAAUCUAGUCCUUUUAAUUUUAAGCACCUUAAGGAAUAUACCUUUUAAAGUGUCUUGAAGGAUUUCAUUCCCCCAUUCAUUCAGCAAACUGUAAAGAGCUUCCCAUGUGCUGCCUGUUGAAUGCAACAUCCUCCCUCUCAAACCCUCUCCUGCUCAACAGGUCCCCUGCUAUCAAUGAUACCAGCAAUAGCACUGAAAGAAUAAAUAUACACCAGAUAACACAGGUGAGUGGGCACAGCUCUCCAUGCCACCCUAGUUCCUCACAAAGGCAUGCCCAAUAUUUGGAGGUACUGACAGCCUUAGAGGAAGGAGAAAUCCACCAGGUCAGAAAAAUUCUGAGCUGUAGGCUUGCUGCCUUUCUUACCUACAUUUGAGGAAAGGCCAGGUUAGCAUCCAAGAGUCCACCCUAUCACCAUAUAAAGAAUUCCAUGCCAGACACAUAUACUUCUAUUUCCUAAUGCUGGUCCUGGGUCUACAGUGGUCUUAUUAUAAUCAGUAGACCAUUCUAGUUCAAGCCCUUAUCCCCUCCUAUAUGGAUAACUGUAACAGACUCUCCUCUCCAGUUCAUCCUAUAAAUGCCAUAGCCAAACUCUACCCCAAUUUUAACUCCUAGUAAUUACUGAUUUGUUCUAUAGGUUGGUGCAACAGUAAUUGCGGUUUUCACCAUUAAAAGUAAUGGCGAAAGUAAUGCUUAGCCUCCUAUUUGGCGAAACUGUAAUGGUGAAAACUGUAAUUACUGUUGCAUCAACCUAAUACAACACUGCAAUUUUGUUUUUUAAGAAUUUCAAAUAGGCCAGGCACGGUGGCUCACACCUGUAAUCCCAGCACUUUGGAAGGCCGAGGCGGGUGGAUCACCAGGUCAGGAGUUCAAGACCAGCCUGACCAACAUGGUGAAACCCCAUCUCUACUAAAAAUACAAAAAUAAGUUGGGUGUAGUGGCGUGCGCCUGUAGUCCCAGCUACUCAGGAGGCUGAGGCAGG